rnacentral:lncRNA from 1 species
GGACAUUGCUGGAAUUCACAUAUACUCCACUGCCUCUACCUCGAUUCCACUUAGAAGGUGCAUUUGGACAGGUUGAGGGAGGAUCAUGCAAGCAGAUUCUUGGUUGCUUUAUUGUUAUCAGUUGGGAAGGGAAAAGGAACUAGAGGGCUCAGAAGACAAGUAAUGGGGUACUGAGGUGUUUGCUUAUUGAACAUAGAUAAUGAUAGUCAUCAACAUUUGGAGUCCUGUGUGAAACUGGCUGUUUUGUCUCAGGUCCAGUGCUCCUGGGUUAGUGUCCAAAGUACAGUUGGCAUAUUUGUUAUGAGUAACAGCAGAGGUCAGGAACUCACUGGGAUUUGAGAAUGUAUUAGCUUGUCAUCCCUCCAUAUCAGGGAGCACAUAUUCUAUCUCCAUAUUCCCUCCAUAUCCGGAGCACACGAACAGAGAGUAGACUUCAUCCUGCUCUCUCUUUCACAGGUGUGUAACCCCACUGACUUCAGUAUAAGUGAGAGGAGAGUCAGGUACUCACCACAGGAAACUUGCUCUGCUGCUGCACCUGCUCUCUGGCUCAACAAAGGGCAUCGGUCUCCAGAGCUGUCAGCCCAGCACUAACAUUCACCCUAAGCACUUGCUAUGGGAAGGCCUUUCCAAGGCACUGGUGGGAAAAGAUGGGAGCCUCAGCCAGGCACUGGCUCCUCUUCCUGUCCACACUUCAGAGUCUCCUUCCUGGUAAGGCCUCAUUUCACAAGCCAGUGAGAGGGGGUGUUCCAGGGGAGUAGCACUCUUUGAAAC